rnacentral:rRNA from 1 species
GAGAAAUCACAAGUCUUUGGGUUCCGGGGGGAGUAUGGUCGCAAGGCUGAAACUCAAAGAACAGGGCGGAAGGCCACCCCCAGGAAUGGUUUCCGCGGCUUAAUGUAACUCAACACGGGAAAAUUAACCCGGUCCAGACAUAGCGAGGACUGGCCGGAUGAGAAAUCUUUUUCGGUUCUCUCGGUCGCAGUGCAAAGCCGUUUUUAAGUGGCGGAAUGGCUCGUUUGGGUAAUUUCGAUAACGAACGAGAACCCAGCCUUCUAAAUAGGUUCCUUAGAGAAUUCAACGGGGUGAAUCUUCUGAGAGGGAGGCGCAUUCUAUUAGAUGCAGGAAGAUAGGGGCAAUACCAGGUCUGGGAUGCCUUUAGAUGUCGUGGGCCGCACGCGCGACACACUGACGCAUUCAAAGAGUUAUACCUUGGCCGAGAGGCCUGGGCAAUAUUUUGAACCUGCAUCGUGAUAGGGAUAGAUUAUUGCAAUUAUUAAUCUUGAACGAGGAAUUCCUAGUAAACGCAGAUCAUCAAUCUGCAUUGAUUACGUCCCUGCCCUUUGUACACACCGCCCGUCGCACCUACCGAUUGAAUGGUCCGGUGAAGCCUCGGGAUUGUGGCGAGUUCCCUUUAUUGGGAGUUUGUCGCGAGAACUGUCUAA